rnacentral:misc_RNA from 1 species
GCUUAUCAUACUUAGUAUAUCAUGUUAGAUUUCAAGUGAAAUUUACGAUAUAAGAAUCGGACUGUGUGAUAUGGGAUUAUAUAUGCGUGUUAGAUUUAGGUGUCUGUUUUAAAACACACACACAUAUAAAUUUGAAAGGAAAAUGUAGGGGACUUAUUGUAGCAAGAAUAUAGCAAGAUAUCUUUCUGUGCUAAUAAUGAUUUCAGCACUCCCAAUCAAAAGGAAUGUUACCACUCGAUGAGUUU